UACGUAGGGGGCAAGCGUUGUCCGGAUUUAUUGGGCGUAAAGCGCGUGUAGGCGGCUUGGCAAGUCUGCUGUGAAAACUCGAGGCUCAACCUCGAGCUGUCGGCGGAAACUGCUUGGCUAGAGUCCGGAAGAGGAGAGUGGAAUUCCUGGUGUAGCGGUGAAAUGCGCAGAUAUCAGGAAGAACACCUAUGGCGAAGGCGGCUCACUGGCCCGGUACUGACGCUCAGGUGCGAAAGCGUGGGGAGCAAACAGG
rnacentral:rRNA from 1 species